rnacentral:rRNA from 1 species
CAAAAGAUCGAAUGGGGAGAUUCAUCAUCAGCGAUCCUGGUACGUGUGCGGUUCGUGAUGCUGGGACUUCGGUCUCGCGGCACGCGUCCGUAUGGUUUUAUUGCUAGGUGUCGUCGGUGUGCACUUCUCCCCUAGUAGGACGUCGCGACCCGUUGGGUGUCGGUCUACGGCCCGGGUGGGCGCCUGUCAUGUGGUCACGCUUUACGGCGUCAUGUGGCAGACCCCCGGUUGUCUGACCGGCUGCUCGGCGGUACUCGCACGGUAUCGGGCCGCAAAUAUACGAACUGCGUCCGGCCCGCCGCAAGCGAGGUCAGUGCUUCCCGGAUGUACGGACCUAGUGCCGUCACCGGGCCUAGCCAGCUGUUGGUCGGUGGUGUCCUGGGACUGGCUCUACAUUAU